rnacentral:rRNA from 1 species
GUAAGGAAUAUUGGACAAUGGACGCAAGUCUGAUCCAGCCAUGCCGCGUGAAGGAUUAAGGUCCUCUGGAUUGUAAACUUCUUUUAUAAGGGACGAAAAAAGGCUUUUCUAAGUCGUCUGACGGUACCUUAUGAAUAAGCACCGGCUAACUCCGUGCCAGCAGCCGCGGUAAUACGGAGGGUGCAAGCGUUAUCCGGAUUCACUGGGUUUAAAGGGUGCGUAGGCGGGCAGGUAAGUCAGUGGUGAAAUCCUAGAGCUUAACUCUAGAACUGCCAUUGAUACUAUCUGUCUUGAAUAUUGUGGAGGUAAGCGGAAUAUGUCAUGUAGCAGUGAAAUGCUUAGAUAUGACAUAGAACACCUAUUGCGAAGGCAGCUUACUACGCAUAUAUUGACGCUGAGGCACGAAAGCGUGGGGAUCAAACAGGAUUAGAAACCCCGGUAGUCC